rnacentral:rRNA from 1 species
UACGUAGGGUGCAAGCGUUAAUCGGAAUUACUGGGCGUAAAGCGUGCGCAGGCGGUUUUGCAAGACAGAUGUGAAAUCCCCGGGCUUAACCUGGGAACUGCACUUGUGACGGCACAGCUGGAGUACGGCAGAGGGGGAUGGAAUUCCGCGUGUAGCAGUGAAAUGCGUAGAUAUGCGGAGGAACACCGAUGGCGAAGGCAGUCCCCUGGGCCUGUACUGACGCUCAUGCACGAAAGCGUGGGGAGCAAACAGG